rnacentral:sRNA from 1 species
CAAAAAUUAGCCGGGCAUGGUGGCAAGCAUCUGUAACCCCAGCUACUCGGGAGGCCGAGGCAGCAGAAUUGCUUGAACCUGGGAGGCAGGGGUUGCAGUGAGCUGAGAUUGCACCAUUGCACUCCAGCCUGGGUGACAGAGUGAGGUUCUGUCUCAAAAACAAAACAAAACUGGUAUUUAUUCUCUGAUCGUUCUGGAGGCUCCUUCUGGAGAAUCUAAGGAAGAAUCUGUUCCCGCCUUUCUCCUGGGUGUUGGCGUUGCAGGUGCUCGUUUGCAUUCCUUGGCUUGUAGACAUGUCACUCCGGUCUCCCCUCUGCUGUCACACAUGUUCUGCUGUCAUACAAGUUCUUCCUCUGUAUCUCUGUCUUCACUUGGUGUUCUCCUCUCUUUGUGUAUCUUUUCUCCUCCUCUUAUAAGGACAUCAGUCAUACUGGAUGAACAGCCCAUUCUACUCCAACAUGACCUCAUCUUAACUAAUUACUUCUGCAAAGACUCUUUCCAAAAAAGGUCACAUUCUGAGGUACUGGGGGGUAGGGUUUCAACAUGUCCUUUUGUGGGGGGGUCACAAUUCAACCCACAACACAACUCAGCAACAAAAAGACAGCCCCAUUUUAAGACAGACAAUGGAUUUGAGUAGAUUCCAAUGGAUUUGGAUAGAUUUCCCAAGGAGAGAAAUUGGAACCCUCGUACAUUGCUGGUGGGAAUAUAAAAUGGUGCGGCCACUUUGGAAAACAGCUUGGUAGUUCCUCAAGAAGGGAAACAUAGAGUUACACAUGACCCAGCAAGUCUACUCCUAAGUAUAUACCCAAGACAAUGAAACAUGUCUACACAAAAACUUGUGUAUAAGUGAUCAUAGCAGCACUAUUCAUAAUUGACAAAAAGUAGAAACAACCCAAAUGUCCAUCAGCCGAGGAGUGGAUAAGCCAAAUGUGGUGGAUCGAGACAAUGGAAUAUUAUUUGGCAAUAAAAAGGAAUGAACACUUAAACAUGCUUAUAUAACAUGGAUGCACCUGGAAAACCUUCCACUAAGAGAAAGCAGCAGGCACAAAAGGACUGUCCAACCCAUUCCGGGGUCUCAUGAAGCUGGGCACCGUGGAGCGGCGGGGGGCAAUGGGCAUCUGGAAGGAGCUCUUCUGCGAGCUCUCCCCGCUGGAGUUCCGCCUCUACCUGAGCAACGAGGAGCACACCUGUGUGGAGAACUGCUCCCUGCUUCGCUGUGAGUCUGUGGGGCCAGCCCAUAGUGACGGGCGCUUUGAGCUGGUCUUCUCUGGCAAGAAGCUGGCCCUGCGCGCCUCCUCCCAGGACGAAGCUGAGGACUGGCUGGACCGGGUGCGGGAGGCCCUGCAGAAGGUCCGGCCUCAGCAGGAGGAUGAGUGGGUGAACGUGCAGUACCCAGACCAGCCUGAGGAACCCCCAGAGGCGCCCCAGGGCUGCCUCUCUCCCUCAGACCUGGUCUCGGAGCCCGCGGCCCUCCAGGGCACACAGUUUGACUGGUCGUCCGCCCAGGUUCCAGAGCCAGAUGCCAUCAAGGAGUCCCUGCUGUACUUGUACAUGGACAGGACCUGGAUGCCCUAUAUAUUUUCUCUGUCCUUGGAGGCUCUGAAAUGUUUCCGCAUCAGGAACAAUGAGAAGAUGCUGAGUGACAGCCACGGCGUGGAGACCAUCCGGGACAUCCUGCCAGACACCAGCCUUGGGGGCCCAUCCUUCUUCAAAAUCAUCACGGCCAAGGCUGUCCUGAAGCUGCAGGCCGGAAAUGCCGAGGAAGCCGCCCUGUGGAGGGAUCUGGUCCGCAAAGUCCUGGCAUCCUACUUGGAGACAGCCGAGGAGGCGGUGACCCUGGGCGGGAGCCUGGAUGAAAACUGUCAGGAGGUGCUGAAAUUUGCCACCCGGGAGAAUGGCUUCCUGCUGCAGUACCUGGUGGCUAUCCCCAUGGAGAAAGGCCUUGACUCCCAAGGCUGCUUCUGCGCAGGUGCCGACUUGCUCUGCUGCCACCCGCAGCCUGCCAGCCUCACUCCGCCUCCUGCUGGUUCCUGAUUUAGGCUCCCCACCCUUCUGCCUCCCGGCAAAUGCCCCCAUCCUUCCCCUAGGGAUGAGGCCACAGAUCAGGCUUGCCCUACAGCUUCUGCUCCUCCCCAGCCCCGGCUGGGGCCAGUGCCCUGCUCAUAGGCAGUGGGCCCUGCUCACCCGUCCCUCUCCUGCCACCUCCCACUGAUGGGCGGCAGGCUGGCUACUCACUGCGCUGCUCAGGGAGUCCCAGCCUGCUUCAUUUUCUUCUUGCUCUACUGUCCUGUUCUUUCAGAGCAGGGGCAUGGUUUCCUUCCAAAUAUUUCUGCUGCUUUUAUAAGUGUACAACCUUUUUUUUAAUUACAAAAAUGGGCUCGUGCUA